CGUACACUCCUGCGGGAGGCAACAGUGGGGAAUAUUGGACAAUGGGCGCAAGCCUGAUCCAGCCAUGCCGCGUGAGUGAUGAAGGCCCUAGGGUUGUAAAGCUCUUUCACCGGUGAAGAUAAUGACGGUAACCGGAGAAGAAGCCCCGGCUAACUUCGUGCCAGCAGCCGCGGUAAUACGAAGGGGGCUAGCGUUGUUCGGAUUUACUGGGCGUAAAGCGCACGUAGGCGGACUAUUAAGUCAGGGGUGAAAUCCCGGGGCUCAACCCCGGAACUGCCUUUGAUACUGGUAGUCUUGAGUUCGAGAGAGGUGAGUGGAAUUCCGAGUGUAGAGGUGAAAUUCGUAGAUAUUCGGAGGAACACCAGUGGCGAAGGCGGCUCACUGGCUCGAUACUGACGCUGAGGUGCGAAAGCGUGGGGAGCAAACAGGAUUAGAAACCCGAGUAGUCCCA
rnacentral:rRNA from 1 species